rnacentral:rRNA from 1 species
UACGAAGGGGGCUAGCGUUGUUCGGAAUUACUGGGCGUAAAGCGCACGUAGGCGGAUACUUAAGUCAGGGGUGAAAUCCCGGGGCUCAACCCCGGAACUGCCUUUGAUACUGGGUAUCUCGAGUCCGGAAGAGGUGAGUGGAAUUCCGAGUGUAGAGGUGAAAUUCGUAGAUAUUCGGAGGAACACCAGUGGCGAAGGCGGCUCACUGGUCCGGUACUGACGCUGAGGAGCGAAAGCGUGGGGAGCGAACAGG